UCUUGGUCAUUUAGAGGAAGUAAAGUCGUAACAAGGUCUCCGUAGGWGAACCUGCGAAGGGAUCAUUACCAGUUCAUGCCCUUACGGGUAGAUCUCCCACCCCUGUGUUAUUUAUUACCUUGUUGCUUUGGCGGGCCGUCAGAUUUCGGUCAGGCUACCGGCUUCGGCGGUAAGUGUCCGCCAGAGGACCCCAAACCCUGAAUAUUAGUGUCGUCUGGUACUAUAUAAUAGUUAAAACUUUCAACAACGGAUCUCUUGGUUCUGGCUCGAUGAAGAACGCAGCGAAAUGCGAUAAGUAAUGUGAAUUGCAGAAUUAGUGAAUCAUCGAAUCUUUGAACGCACAUUGCGCCCCUUGGUAUUCCGAGGGCAUGCCUGUUCGAGCGUCAUUACAACCCUCAAGCACUGCUUGGUAUGGGCUCUGCUGCUAAUACAGCGGGCCUUAAAAUUAGUGGCGGUGUCAUCGACCCUGAGCGUAGUAAAUAUCCUCGCUAUAGGGACUUGGUGAUUAUUGCCAGCAACCCCCAAUUUUCUAAGUUUGACCUCGGAUCAGGUAGGGAUACCGCUGAACUUAAGCAUAUCAAUAAGCGGAGGA
rnacentral:rRNA from 1 species